rnacentral:ribozyme from 14 species
UGAUGAGGAAUAAAUAAUAUAGGAGUGAAAGGAGGUGGAACCUAGAUUUUUUAUUUUUUUUUUUUUGUUUUU